rnacentral:lncRNA from 1 species
UUUUUUUUUUUCUUUGGUAGGCUGUAAAUGCAAAUGUCUCUUUGAAGCGACUGGAGGAACUUCUCUUGGCAGAGGAAAGAAUUCUUCUGCCAAACCCACCUCUUGAACCAGGACUUCCUGCAGUCUCAAUCAAGAACGGUUCAUUUUCUUGGGAGUCAAAGGUUGAUAUUGAAAUCAUUUUCUAAAGUACUCGAGACAUUAUUUGGUUGUGUCCACCAAAGUAACAGAUCAGCCAUUGAUAGAAAUGUUAACAAUUUUGUUGGAUAGAAUAUUUAAAGUAUAAUUGCUGAACAUCUACAGGAUUUUUAUAAUGUUAUAUAAAACUUCAAGCCACACUGACAUCUUCUUUUACACACAAUUAUAUUUUCAUAAUUGACCCUGAGAAAGUUCAUCCUAAUUGCACACUGUUACUUUGUACCACAAAUCCAUGAAAAUCAUUAACUUAAGACCGUGAGAAAAAUAUUCAGAACAAACUUCUAUUCAUACCGAACUCAAUCCUUAUUGUUUGUGAUCAAGAUUAGCAAUUUAAAAAAUUUGUGGAGAACAGAAGACAUUUGAUCAUAGCAAUUUAAGAAUUUGGCUGGUACGUUCUGGCUACAUGAGGAAGUGUUGGAGCUUUCAAGUGCAAGCCUUUAGCUUAAAUUUGAAUAUCUGUCUCCUAUAUGUUUAUAGUUUAAUAAUUUAUACUCUGUUGGUUGUAUAUAUAUGUUACUAAUAGAUGUCUUGCAAAACAAUUCCACAUAAUAAACGCAUUUGAAAUUGUGUAAGCACGCUUUGAAAUUUACGUACGCUUGUGAUUCAUUCUAUUUGCAGGCAGAGCAGGUCACAUUGUCAAAUAUUAAUUUGGAUAUACCACAAGGUAGUCUUGUCGCAAUUGUUGGUAGCACUGGAGAAGGAAAAACAUCACUUGUAUCAGCGAUGCUCGGAGAACUUCCAGCAGUUGGAGAUACGGAAGUUGUCAUUAGAGGAACAGUUGCGUAUGUUCCCCAAGUAUCAUGGAUAUUCAAUGCAACAGUGAGUGAAAGCAGUUAUUUUGUUGUAUCAUUUUAUUUCCCUGAGCUGAAACCACUGGUUAAUAAAUUUAUUCAAUCUGAAUACUUGGCACUGCUUCUAUCCGAUGUAAGAGAUACAUUAUGUUUAAAAUAGCUUACAUAUGAUGUAACAAGAAAUGUUUAUAAUAUUGUGUGCAUUUUAGCCAAUAACUGUGCAAAAGGUUACUUAAAAACUAAAUUUACAUGCUACUUUGCGUGAUAUUCUUGUGUUGAUGUCUCAGGUACGACAGAACAUAUUGUUUGGAUCUGCAUUCGACCCUGCAAGGUAUUCAAAGGCAAUAGAUGUGACUGCAUUGCAGCAUGAUCUUGACUUGCUUCCUGUGAGUGCCAAUGCAUUUUUGUGCUGCUAAUUGAAAAGAGUGUAAUCUGAGAUUCAAAUUGUUUGACAUUUACAUGAUUUUACAGGGGAGUGAUCUUACUGAGAUUGGCGAAAGAGGGGUUAAUAUUAGUGGUGGGCAAAAGCAACGAGUAUCCAUGGCUAGGGCUGUAUACUCCAAUUCAGAUGUUUUUAUAUUUGAUGACCCUUUAAGUGCUCUAGAUGCUCAUGUGGCUCGACAGGUAGCUUUACUUUUAGUAACAAUGGGUAUUUACUUAAAUGUUAUUAAUUACUGCAUGCUUUCUGUUUCCCGACUUCAAAGAAAGACACUGUGUAUAGCGAAGGGAUGAAGUUGCUCUUAUUAUAAUUUUUCUUAUACUCUACCAAGGUUACAUGCCUCAACAAUAUUUUCUGCUGUACAAGAUUGGGCUAUCAGAAUUGUGUUUACUGUUAAUUGUUUAAUAAUACUUCCAGUGCAUUUCCAGGUUUUUGAAAAAUGUAUCAAGGAAGAAUUGAGAGGGAAAACAAGAGUUUUGGUCACAAACCAACUACAUUUUCUUUCACAAGUAGACAGAGUUAUUCUUGUGCAUGAAGGCAUGGUGAAAGAAGAGGGAACUUUUGAGGACCUGUCAAACAAUGGUCAGUUGUUCCAAAAGCUAAUGGAAAAUGCAGGGAAGUUGGAAGAAUACGUGGAAGAUAAUGAAGAUGGUUUGAACAAUGAUAGUACAAUUUCAAAACCUAUUUUAAAUGGUGAAACAGAAGAGGUUCCUAAGGAUGCAGGCCAGACAAAGAAAAAUGAAGAAAAAUCUAUACUUAUCAAACAAGAGGAACGGGAAACAGGCGUAGUCAGUUGGAAAGUUUUGGAUAGGUAAGAAGUAACUAAUUCUUUUGAGAAAUCUGAGUAUGUUUUAUACUCUGCUACUUGUGUUUAAUAUUUAGGCUGCUUUCUAUAUUAUAAACCUGACACAACCACUUGUAAUUUGAGUGCCUUUUCUGUCUGCUACUUUUGUUUAUUUUUUAGGCUGCUUCUUAUAUUACCACCCUGAUGCAGCCACGUAACUUUCUCAUUUUAAUGUUUCUGAGAAUAACUUCCCUGAUAAAAAAAUCAAACGUAAAGUUGAUUAUAUUAUAUACCAGGGUAGUUUUUAUUUAUUGUAAAGAUUUGAUUUCUGAUACAAUGUUUCUUGGGAACAUGUGGAUGUCGUACAUACUUUAACUCUAUGGUUAAGUGUACCAACAUGAUCUUUUGGUUGAGGUAAAAUAGACCAAGUUGUUGCAGUGGACCAAGUUGUUUCAGUACAUGUCUGUUCAUAUAACCUCUACAAACAUAUUUCUUUCUGCUAAUUACUUUUCCCCAAAAUUUAUACUUCACCUUAAUAUAAUUUUUAUGACUAAAUGAUGUAAUACAUCAUAAAAUCUUUGUUGAUGAAUGUCGUCAGUCUUCAGAUAUCAUACAUGUCAUCAUAUUUUUUUCUUAAUUAGGCCGGAUGGUGAUCAUACAUUUCAUUUAAUCUUUACCUGGUAUCCUUUCAACAUAUUAAAUGUAAAUGCUACAUCUAUAUACUAUCUUUUUGACUAAUGCCAUUUCUUGUUUCUCAGGUAUAAAAAUGCAUUAGGAGGAUGGUGGGUAGUUAUGAUACUCUUCUCGUGCUAUGUCCUAACAGAACUUUUGCGAGUUCUGAGUAGCACAUGGUUGAGUGUUUGGACAGAUGGAAGUAGCCCAAAGAGAUACGGACCUGGCUUCUACAAUUUGAUUUAUGCGCUUCUGUCGCUUGGUCAAGUAUGAUCUAAAUAUAAUCUGCAUCCUCCUAAGAAACUAUAUAACUUUUAAUUAUCUUUGUUGAAACUGCAAUAGUUACAUUCCUUCUUUCAAUUUGUUAGGUUCUGGUGACAUUGGCAAAUUCAUAUUGGUUGAUCUUAUCAAGCCUUUAUGCAUCUCGUAAAUUGCAUGAAGCAAUGCUCAAUUCUAUUCUAAGAGCGCCAAUGGUCUUUUUCCAUACCAAUCCACUUGGACGUAUUAUCAAUAGGUUUGCGAAGGAUCUCGGUGAUAUUGAUCGGAAUGUUGGGCCUUUUGUGAAUAUGUUUUUGGGCCAAGUGUCCCAGCUAAUUUCAACUUUUGUGUUAAUUGGGAUACUAAGCACAAUGUCUCUGUGGGCUAUAUUGCCACUUCUACUCUUGUUCUAUGGAGCCUAUUUAUAUUUUCAGGUACAUAAAAACUUCUUCCUUGUAGAUUCUUUUUAUUUUUUUGAAUAAUUCAGUAAAUUAAAGACACUUGAAUAUUAAUAAGUCUUGUACAUACUCAUUUACAACUUCACCUCGUAGAUGUAUGUAGAGCAAUGUAGUAAUAUCAGACAUGAUUGAUUAAGAUAUUUGCACACUAUAUCAGAGUAUCACACUGUUGAUGUUACCAGUUUUAUCAUCUAUUGAUAUUAACGUAUAAUAAAUGCAUAAAAUGAGAAGUAUUCUAUACUUGGAUAUUGGUGCAUAAAUGUUAGAAGAAGUAGUUUGAGAAACUGGUAAGACAGUCAUCUUCUUCCUUGAGUAAGAAAUAUUUCCCUAAAUGUCCUUGCAGAGCACGGCGCGUGAAGUGAAGCGUUUAGAUUCUAUUACUAGAUCUCCCGUCUAUGCGCAGUUUGGAGAGGCAUUAAAUGGCCUGUCAUCUAUUCGUGCAUAUAAAGCUUAUGAUCGGAUGGCCAACAUUAAUGCAGACUCCAUGGACAAUAACAUUAGGUUUACUCUUGUGAACAUGAGUGGAAAUCGUUGGCUGGCCAUCCGGUUGGAAACAUUGGGGGGAGUUAUGAUUUGGCUUACGGCAACAUUUGCUGUUGUGCAGAACGGAAGGGCAGAAAACCAGGAGGCUUUUGCCUCUACAAUGGGUUUGCUUCUCAGUUAUGCAUUAAAUAUUACAAGUUUAUUGACUGCUGUAUUGAGACUUGCAAGUUUAGCUGAGAAUAGUUUAAAUGCUGUUGAGCGUGUUGGCACCUAUAUAGAGCUGCCUCCAGAGGGUCCAUCUAUUAUUGAUAGCAACCGUCCUCCUCCCGGAUGGCCUACCUCAGGAUCAAUCAAAUUUGAGGAUGUUGUCCUACGUUAUAGACCGGAACUUCCUCCAGUCUUGCAUGGAUUAUCCUUUUCAAUUUCUCCAACUGACAAGGUUGGGAUAGUAGGAAGGACUGGUGCAGGAAAAUCCAGCAUGCUUAAUGCUUUAUUUCGAAUUGUGGAACUGGAAAAGGGGAGAAUUUUAAUUGAUGACUGUGAUGUUUCGAAAUUCGGACUGACAGAUCUUCGUAAGGUUCUUGGUAUUAUACCACAGGCGCCAGUUCUUUUUUCAGGUAAAAUUUUUAUGAAUACAUCUUUAUUAUUUUUGGUGUGGCCAGAAAUUUUUUAAAAAAACAAUAAGAAGCCAAAAUAAAAUGGACUGGGGUCAGUGUGGCCCUCAAAAUGGCACCUUUAAGUAUAUCCUGUUUCCGGGUAGAUUUAUAUUUGGCUCUAAAUUUUUAUAUUUGUUAAGGAACCGUGAGAUUCAAUCUUGAUCCCUUUGAUGAACACAAUGAUGCUGAUCUAUGGGAAUCAUUGGAGAGGGCACAUCUGAAGGAUGUCAUCAGGAGGAAUGCUUUGGGGCUGGACGCAGAGGUAUUUACGCAUGACACUAUUAUUUUAAUAUGUUGGGUUGAUAAUGUGGAUUUCAUUAAAGAACAAAUUGUUUCAUAAAUUUAUACGGCUCAUUUACCGACUUUCAGACCAUUCUAUCUUCUUCAUAGAAAAUCUUUCAGAAAUAUUGUUUGUAGAAAUUCUCUAUAAAUUACUUGUCAACUGAUGUGAUUUCUGUCAUUUUGCAAUUAGAGAACAAUUAUUUCAACUUAUGUAGGUUUGUGCAGAACUUUGACUACUGAAUUGUUAAAAGUUAACGCAGUGAUGGUUCUCAAGCUUUAGUGUAGAACUGACUGUUAUCAGUAAUAUCAAUCACAUCUGUCUCAACUAGCUUUAGAUACUCUUGUUUCAUUGUUCACUUAAUUCUCGUAAUGUCAGGCUUAACUUCAAAAUAUAAACGUGGCUUGCAAAAUUUGUUCUUGAAAUAUCUGUAGAAAAGAAGGAAUAUGUACACAAAUAUUUGCAUCAGCAAAAGUAUCGGCUAUUGCUUAGGUGCAGGCCAUAUAGCAUAAUCUUGCAUAUCGACAUAGCAAUUAACACCAAGCAACAGAAUUUUGUUUAAUAUUUGUGAUUUCAUAUACUCCUUGCUGAGACUAUGUGUCAUAUUUAUCACUGUAAGAAGAUCCCUUCAUUCAUGAAAACCUUUCAGACGGACAAUCUGCAUUUUGAACAGAAUUCAAAAUUGAAUUAGAUGUCAGAGCUCUUGUCUCUCCACAAAUAUUAUCUUUUUAAAUUAAAAAGCUGUAUCAUUUCUAUUUUUCAAGUGCUCAGGGAUAAGACUGUCGGAUAGAUCCACUUGUAGAAAACUUGACAUACUUCAGAAUAUGCUGGUCAACAGAAACCAGCUACUCUUAAUCUUUGCUUCAUCUAAGAGUUUUAUAUAUGUCAACUUGUCAAGGUUUCAGAGGCAGGAGAAAAUUUCAGUGUUGGGCAGAGACAACUACUAAGUCUUGCUCGAGCAUUGCUUCGCAGAUCAAAGAUUCUUGUUCUCGAUGAAGCAACAGCUGCUGUUGAUGUUAGAACGGACGCACUUAUCCAAAAAACUAUUCGUGAAGAAUUCAAAUACUGCACGAUGCUCAUCAUUGCUCAUCGACUCAAUACAAUUAUUGACUGCGACAAAAUUCUUUUGCUAGAUGCGGGUCAGGUGUGAAAUAUAUCUCAUGUCUUUUCUCUAUGUUAAUUGUUAAGGUUUACUGCAACUUGGCAUUUGUCUAAAAUGCAGAUUUUUGUAUUUUAAUUUUAAGUAUAGGUUAGCUGUGUUUUGCUGAUUGACAUAUUUGCAUGUAUUAGGUCCUGGAGUAUAAUACUCCCGAGGAAUUGCUUCUAAACGAACGAAGCUCUUUCUCUAAGAUGGUCGAAAGUACAGGCGCCGCAAAUGCUCAGUACUUGCGUAGUUUAGUACACAGCGGGGAAAGCGAGAGCAAAACGAGUACACAUGAAACUAAGCAACUAGAUGGACAAAGAAAAUGGCUAGCUUCAUCACGCUGGGCUGCUGCAGCACAGUUUGCUCUAGCUGUCAGCCUCACAUCAUCACAGAAUGACCUCAUACAGUUGGAACAUCUAGAAAAUGAUAACAAUAUUCUCAAGAAAACAAAGGAUGCAGUUAUAACUCUUCAAGGAGUUCUCGAAGGGAGGCAUAACAAAGUUAUUGAAGAGACUCUUGAUCAGUAUGAAGUCCCUAGAGAUGGAUGGUGGUCAGCUCUCUACAGGAUGGUUGAAGGUAAUCCUCAGCAUAUCAUACUUUUAAUGUCAUCGCUAACAUAUUAGAAACUAGCAAGGUCACUUGUGUUAAUUGUACUAAAGAUGUUUCAUCUUCCAAAUGGUCAGGCCUUUCAAUGAUGAGUAGGAUAGGUCGAAACAGGCUUCAACAUUCAGGAGAAGGUUUUGUAGAUGCCACAAUCGAUUGGGAUCAGAUCGAGAUGUAGUAGCGCAAUCUCUGUCUGUCAACUGAAGAUUCAAAUCUUCCGAUAUGCAAAAAACUAAUACUUCUUUUAAGAUAGUAAUGCAGUUGUAAUUUUGAGGGUGCUCAAUCAAAGGUGGCCUGCUUAUAUUUGGAGCUCAUCAUGCAAAUUCCUCUAAUGACAAACAGAUUUGAGGAAUGUAUACUACAGGUUAUAUAUAUUUAUCUUGUGCUGUUGGUUAAACUUGACUAACAGGACAGUUUUGCGUAGUGUCAGAUAUUUAAAGUUAGUAAAGCAUUUUCUGUAUACGAGACUUUUCCACUUGUGUGAUUUUGAUUAGUUUUUUCAAUACAUUUGUCUUGCCAAUCUUCAGCUGUUGAGCAUUUGAGCCGGGUGUUAGUCCUGAUUAUCAUGAAUAUCAAUGUUAAUAUGCUAAAUAUCACGGGCGAAAAAAAAAUAUCUCGAAUACGUUCAAAAUGCUACUUAAUAAAUGGUUUGUCCGAAAACGUUGUAUCAUGUAGCGUUGAAACAUUUUUUAAAUUUUAAAAUUGAUCAGAACACCACAUAAAAUUAUGUUUAAGCUAAAAUACUGCACCGUAUAACGUUUAAACGUUCUUUUUAUUUUUUUAAUAAAAAUUGAUCAAAACGCUACACGAAGUAGCGUUUCUAGGUAAGAUGCUAGAUGAUGUUACGUUCUGACUAUAAAACAUCACUUUAUGUUUUGUUUUGUUGUAGAACGUUACUCUAAGUGUGUUUUAACUUGUUAGUAGUACUAGAAUAAGUAACAUUACUGUUAUGCCCAAAAUUCAACAUGGACUUCACUGAUGGGCUAGGCCCAUAUAAAAGAUGAAGAUAUGGACUUACACACUGGAGAUCGGGCUCGGCAAUAUGUAGGCGUGCCCACAUCUCUGACCACGUCCAGAAUAAACUCUGAACUUUAGAAGGAAAAACUAUUUUGGGCCGACUUAGGCUGGAUCAUAUGUGGUCGCGCCCACAUGUCAGGCCGCGUCCACAUGUUAAGCCGCGCCCACAUCCCAGGCCGCAUCCACAUGUCCAACCGCGCCCACAUGCCAGGCCGCGUCCACAAAUCUGACCAUGUGCGGAAGGACCUUCGAUGAGGGCGCGCCCUGUUAUCAAACAGAAGACACAUUCGAAUAAUAUUACAUGAAAACGAUCUACAUGAAGGUAAGAAGGGCAGGAGGAGACAUAUUAUGCCUAAGGGGACGCCCUUAAGCAUAUGUGAAGCCUACUGUUAAUUGAUUAAAGACUUUAUCUUGUAGUCGAGUAGUUGUCCUCCUUGGGAGGUAGAAAAUGAAGACUAGAGGAGGUCUUGCUAUGUAGUCUGGCGAGUUAUCCUUGUCGGGGAGCUUGUGGAACCUUCUCGAAGACACGCCCUGGAAGGCUCUAUCUCUGUAGUCUGGCGGGUUGUCCCUGUCGGGGAGUAGAGAAGCGUCCUUGCAUUUGGGGUAAGUCUUGGGUGCUCGAGAGUCGAAAAGACCCAAGGCUAGGUCUCAUCGUAUUGGGCCCUGCAGGAGAAAGACAGCAGAAGGGGAAGCCUAAUCCAAUGAGGUUUCUUAGGAGAAAGAACUACGUACCGGCUUGAUCCCCUAUAAAUAGGGGUACGUAGACACAUCGUAGGCAUGGGCAAUUCUUGGGAACAAGAUGCCGGUGAAUAGACCUCUAGUUUUCUUCGCGAUCUUGAACCCUAUGCCUACGAUCUCAGCCACAUCCAAAUACACCACCACUCUCCGGGGCGAGUUUUAGGGAGCGGCCACCAUCGCAGAUCUUGAUUCUGGUUAUAACCUCCAAUUUUGUUAAUAACAAAAUUCCUCCGUUAACAAUUACCAAUAACAUAAAAAAGAUCAAAAAAAACUACUACUAUUACUACUUAUUAAUCAAUUGGCAUUACUAGUACAACUAUGUAAACUAAGAAUAAACUAAUAAUAUCUACAUAAAAAUGAAGAGACGAUUGAAUAAUAAUAUUUUUACUAGAUAAAGAUAAAGUGUACCCAAACGAAUAAUGAAGUUCACAGUCCUCUCAAGAUACCAAUUAAGAUAUCCGGUAAUUAUACCAUCACCAACAAUAAUGUCUGAACUAAAAAUAUGAUCUAAACAAGUGUUUCAAAUAGCUAUAUUUAGCCGAUGAUGUCUAUCAAAAUAAUUAAUAGUUUUUUGACCCUUCAACGUCAUCCUAUGAAACUCAUUAAACUACCCUGCAUCAUCUAGAAUAUGUUGGACCGACCCAAGGUAUCUGAACACUUUAUUAGGCAAAUACGUCUUUAUAAUGUAAACACAUAUUAUAGAGCCCCAAUAGCGCUAAAAAUGCAAACUAUUGAUAGAACAUAUAUUUAUAUAUGCUUUUAUAUGAUUUUAUUCCCAUAAUUGUAGUAUUUUGUAAAUAAUCGGGUAAUUACUAAUUGAUUUUAAGGGUUUAAUGGCAGAAAAAUAAACAUUCCUAAGUUGGAUGAAACUAGCUUGUUUGGACUUUUAUUUGAUGAAAAUUUAGACUUUUUGGGCUACCUGCGCAGCCAAUCUUGUUUGCGCCAUAACUUGAGUUCCGGACGUCAGAAUUGAGCAAUUCAACAACCCACGCGAAGAUAUCGGAAUUUUCUACAAGUUUAAAGUGGUCUAGAUAUCUAAAGACAAAUGGAUCAGCCCAUAAUCAGGCCUGAAAGUCAGCCUACGAAUUUCUUUUCAGAAUCCAACUUGUUUUAGGAAAUUGGAUUUGUUUUUCAAGGAAACCAUUAAAAACACUAUUAUUAUUAGGGUUUGUAUCAUUAGAGACAUAUCGAAUAUUGUGUAUUGAGAGAUAGAGGUAGAGAAAGCUUUCGGAGAUAACUCGAGCAAAGAUUGAAGGGAUUCAGUCCAAGUUCGAGAAAUUUCGUCAAGUUGUAUUUUCUUACUCUUAUUCUCUUGUGACAUGAUUUCAAUUAUAUAUAUAUAUAUAUAUAUAUAUAUAUAUAUAUAUAUAUAUAUAUAUUAAUAUAUAUGACAUAUGACAUACAUAUUCUUAUAUAUAUAUAUAUAUAUAUAUUCAUGUUUUCUUUAGUUGUUAUGGAUAACUAAUCCUCUAAUCCGAGGAUUGGGGAGUAUAUUUAUUGGCUUAAUAUGUUUGUUUGAGCUAAUAUUGUGAUUUCUCUAUUUAUGCUAAUCUGUCAUUGAGCGCUUAACACAGUUAUAGGAGUCGCGAACCUGUAAUUGUAUCUGUAGGAUUUAUAAUGAAUUGGGAGAGGAUUUAUACUUCUUGUACAUGAUAUGACAGACAUAACUCAAUUAAUUAAUCGGGAGAUUAUUAUGGGAGUUGUGAAACAGUAAAUCCUUGGUUCGUGAUAGCUUAUAAUUUGGUUUUAAUUGAUCAUGGGAGUGACUUCAAGGUUAAAUUAUAGGUAUUAUUUUGUAUCUUGGGAGAGAACAUUAUACUCAAUAGAAGAAUUUUUUUUAGCAGAGUAAAGACUUGUAUAUCACGAUUGAUUGAUAUUCAUUGUAGCUAGCAAAGAAACCUAAUUCUUGAAUUGUUUUUUAUCAUCGUUAAUUCACACUUUUAAUUGUUUUAUAAGUACAAUUUAGUUGAUAGUAAAAACACAACUUUUCUCUAAAAUUUCUAAAUUGAAAGGAAUAAUAAACUUGGUUUGAUAUUGUAUUCGGUCCUUCCCUGAGAAUGAACUUUACAUAAUUUCACUGCAACAACUAUAUGUUGGACCGACCCAAGCUAUCUAAACACUUUAUUAGGCAAAUACGUCUUUAUAGGGGUGUAUACGGUUCGGGUUGGGCGGUUUGAUGGAAUUUAUCAACCCAACCCAAUUAAAUCAGAUUUUCAAAAUUUCAACCCAACCCAAACCGUAUAAAUUUAUAACCCAAACCAUUUUGUUGUACAUCGGUUUGGAUCGGUUUGGUCGGGUUAAUAAAUUAUAUAACUAGAACGGAAAAUCUCAAGAUCCUAAAAAUGGAAAAUAGUUCAGCAAAAAUUAUAAUCUUCGGUGUCAAAUAGGUCUUCAACAUCCAGUUUUUUACACUAAAAAUACUUUAAAAUCUUGUCAAAGACAUAAAAUUGAAUUUAGUUAAAAAAAUAAGUAAUAACAAAUAAUGAACAUAUAUAUUCAUGAAUUUAAUCUCAUAUUCUCAUUCAUGUUUGUUUGCUACUUGAAUAGAUAAAUUUAUGGUCAUAAAUAUAUUUACGUAACAAACAAACAAUAUUCAUGUUUGUGUUCUCCUAAACAAACAUAAUAAUGAAUUUAAUCUCAUAUUCUCAUUCAUAAAUUUUAUCACAUAUAUAUUUAAAUAGCAAAUAGAAAUUACUAUAUUAAAUUUAAUUUAAGGAGCACACAAAUAUAAUAAAACUAAAUGGACUACGCUAAUAUGUGAUGAGAUGGAUAAAAUUAAUAUGUUCUCAUAUUUUUCAAUGGGGUCGGUUGGAUCGGUUUAUACAACUCGAAAUCCAUGUCCAACCCAACUAAAUCGGGUUAAUACUUUUUCAAUCCAAUUACUUAUCGGGUUUUGUGUAAACACAUAUUAUAGGGGCCCCAAUAGCGCUAAAAAUGCAAACUAGACAAGCAUACAAGUAACACAUCGACCACAUUUGUAGAGUAAAGCUCCGAGAUGACACGAGAUGAGGGCAAAUAUGCGAUAUUCAUGAAUAAAUGUUUUACUAAUUUGCAUUCACCUUACAUUUUCAAGUAUUGUUUAGUCCCAUUUUCUCGAAUCUUUGUGAUGUUAUAAUUUUAAUUGCAACUACAUGUAAUAUUUCUUGUAUAUAUAAUAUAAAUUAUUGCAUUAUAAUACUAUAGGUUAAUAUUUAGCCCUUCAUGAAUACUCUUUCCAUUCCAAAUUAGAUGAAGUCAUUGAUUUUGACAUACAAUUUAAAAUUUAUUGGCCGCAAAACUACAUAACUUGUUUUUAAAAUUUUAUUUUGUAAAUAAAAAUUUAAAUAUGAAAUUUUUGUUUGCAAAACAAUUUUUAAAAAAAUAAAUUACAAAAUUUGAUGGUCAAUGUAACUUAAGUUUCGUGUCCAAAAUCAAAAAACUCAUUUAAUUCGGGAUGAAGUGAGUAUAAUAAAUAUUAAAUUUUAGUUAAAAAUUCUAAUAUAGAAUAAAAUAGGAAAUUUUAGCAAAUAUACUGCUUUUUGUAAGUUUUUUUUUUAAAAUUUCACUAUCUUCUGAAUAUAAUUCAGAAUAUACUGUGCAAAUUCGUGCAAGUUCAAUAUUUUUGCAUAGAUAUAAACCCGAAAUUCUAUAAUUUCAUCCUCCACUUCUUCUCCUCAAUCUCUACCCUCCACUUCUUCUCCUCAAUCUCUACCCUCCACUAUCAAAGCUUCCCCUUCAUUCACCCCUUACCGUUCCACUUACUACAUCCUCCUCCCCUACACUCCCCGUCCUCUCUCCCCUCUGUCUGCAAGUCCCACAAUCUUAAUCAAUCCAGCCUGAACUCCAGUCGCGCCGCCCUCAUCAUCGUGGCUUUCUCAUCUUUCGACAUCUCUCUCCACACACCGGUACAACCGCAGCCUGGCUAUAACGAUCGGCAGCGGCGACAUCUGUAACGGUCGGAGGCGGCGACAUCUGCAACGAUCAGCGGUAGCCUGGCCACCCCUCUUCCCAGGCAUUCAUUAACAACCAAUUAACACAAAAUAUACACCUAAAUAUACAUCAAUUCAUCACCAAUAUACCGGUUGAUUUCAGUAGAGUUUAGUUAAUCUUGUUAUUGUUUUUAGUUGAUUUUGUGUUAUUAUUACCGGCCCGUAGGAACACUUAAUUAACUCUCCAUCUUCUUCAUUUUAAUCGAUUAUUUUUAGCUGAUUUUGAAUAAAAAUAACUAUGAAGUUCAUUGUUUGUAAUUUGACUAACAUGCUCUUGAACAAUCGGAUCAAACUCCGCCAACAUCUCAAUCAAACCCAAAAAAUUUCCAUUAUUAUUCUAAAAUAAUUUUUCGUUAAUACCACGAAAGGCUAAAUUAUAUUUGCAAGAUAUUUCACAAUAGUAAUAAUUCUUUUCAAGAUAUUUCUCCAAUGACCUUAUUUCUUCUUGAUGAGAUCUUGAACCACUUUAUCAAUGGUUUGGUUACUAUUAAGUCUCAUACGUAAAUCAUACCAAAUAGACAUAUUUUUAAUAUGAUUCAUACUUGUUUCAUGCUCUCUAAGCCAAGCACCAAGAUGUCUCCAAUCAUGAUUACCCCUAAAUAAUUUACAACAAAAGCAGAACACUUUAUCAAGUUCUUUGGAAUAUACAAGCCAAUCCCUAUCACAUUUUUCUCCAUUUGCUAAAGUUCUAGUAUACAAUGCAGAAAAAAGACAUCGAGAAACAUCAUUUCUAGGCCUUUAUAUAUAAACCCAUCUCUUUUUGGACCAUUAACUACUAAAACAUCAAUCAUUUUUGAAUCAAGGGACUCCCAAUUUCUAGGAUCAAAUAUAUCUUUCAUAAAAUCUGCACCAAAAUUCACAUCAAGUGUAUUAUCUAUUUUAUCAUUAACAUUUUCAUUAUUAUUACAAUCACUAGAUAAUUUCUCUUCACUCAAAAUCAAAUCCCUCUCAAUAUUAAGAUCAGUUUCAUUCAAAUUCUCAUCCUUAUAAACCUCGAUAUUUUGAUUGUCAUCAAGUUUUUGAGAUUUUUUAAUUAUAAAAUUAUCGAGAGAUCCUUUCUGAGAUUGAACCAACUCUUCAUCUUUUUUUCUUUUUCUUUUUCAUUUUUCAUAUCCAGAUGCUUGUUUUCUAGGAAGCAUGAUAAAAAAAAUUACAAAUCACUGCAAUCAAACAAAUAAAGAAAAUAAAAUAGAAAAGAAAAUGAUCCAAAAUAAAGAUUGAGAGCAGAAUAUGGAUUUGAUAGAUAUAACCUGAUUGGAGGCUUUUAAAAAAUAAAAUUCAGACGAUUUCUACAUCCAUUUGAUGAACACAGGAGCUUGAAAUCUUUGAUGGAGUGUGGAGAAGAAAUGAGAUGAUAGUGGACAGAUGAGUCACUAAAGAUAGGUUUGCCGAUCAAAAGUUUUGUUUUUUUUGGCGAAGUUAGAAUAAAAUAUGUGUGUGGAGUUUAACUGCUUGUACUAGUAUGUGAGGAGAGAGAGGGAAGAAGAAGAGACAUUCACGGUUGGGUUUUGGGAAUUGAUUAGUGUUUAAAUAAAAUAAUGGUAAAAAUUAAAGAGAUAUUAAUAUUAUAUUACAUUUAUCAUGAGUAUACUAAAAGAUAAAAGGAAGUAGUCAUAAAUUGAGGCCCCUAAAUUUGCAUGGGCCCUGUGCUGUUGCACUUGCUCAAAAUCGGCCCUGAGUUAGACAGUUGUGUUCUUAAAAUGGAUUAAGUUGAUCACAAGGUUGCAUAUUAGGAUGUUAAGUUGCAUAUAAUGUUGCAAAUGUUUAAUAAACAUUAUAAUACUAACAUGCAACAAAAAAUCAACUAGAACUACUAAAAUGUUUAAGCCACAUAUAAUGUAAUUUAAACAACUGUUUGUUACAGAUUAUUUAUGCAGUAUUUGGUGAAUACGAAGUAGAUGCAUGUGUUGUUGAAUGUUAAGCUUUAUAUAUGUUGUCAAUUGUUGAGAUUUUGUCUUUUUAAAGUUACAGAUCUAUUUAUAUAUUAUGGUGCAUACGAGGUUCUCUUCGGUGUCUUGUUGUCCUUCAGAGUGUGCAACUGCUUCAAAUGGGAAAUCUAAGAUGACCCCAAAGGAAGUUGAUAUGAUAAACUCAAACUUAAAAAGGAAAGGCAAGAGGGUGAACUUUACAAUUCAAGAUAAUAUGAUUCAUGUCCUAAGGUACUGCAUUCUUUUCACAUACUAGUAUGAUAUUGAUUAUGUAUUUGUAUUAACUAUUUUAUAUUUUACAGGGGAUGCAAUAUGUUAUUCAUGUGAAAGAGCACUAGUCAACAAAAAUUAACACAAAUAACAAGUAUGAUGUUGAUAAUCAGGUGCAUCCAAAAUAUAAUAUUUUGUUUAAAGCUACAGUUGAUAUUGGUUUGAGAACCUGCACAUGCAAUAGGUUUUAAAUGGACCAGCUUCCUUGUACUCAUGGAAUUGUUGUUUUACAAAAGGUUAAUCAUGAACCAUAUGAUUAUUGUUCACCACAUUAGAAAAGGGAAGCAAUGGUUCAUGCUUAUGAAGAGACAGUGUUCCUUGUUGGUCACAAAGACACCUCCACAAGGACAAGUAAGAGUGGGCAGACAAAAAAAAAAGAAGAUGCAAAACUCUUGGGAGAUAAAUGGAAAACAACAUGAACAAGUCAAAUACUGGAAUUGCAAUCAAUAUGGACAUAAUAGAAGAACUUGUCGAAAUCUUCCACUCAGAAUUGCUUGAACUACUAUUUUUAUAUAUUUGACUUUGAAAAAUAUUUGUUGUUUGAUUGAGGUUAAGGUAUAAAGUGGCAUUGAUAACUUAGUUUCAGUUGCAUUUUGAUCUAGUUGAUUUUUGUUGCAUAUUAGCGUUAUAAUGUCUAUUAAACAUUAGCAACAUUGAAUGCUACACUAUAUGCAACUGUCAACCCUAAUAUGCAACAUUGUAAUCAACUUUACUCUAUUUUCAAAAUCCAAAGUGCAGCUUCAUUGCGGGGCCAAUAAUCCAAAUGAAUUCAAUCUUAUCAUGUCUUUAGAUAGUUCUUGGUCCAUGUCUCGUCUCGAAGUCAUGCAUUGGCAUGAUAUUACUUAUAAGUUAGUCCAUACUCAAAGUCUUAAUUUGGUAUCCAAGAACGUAUAAACCUACAAUGCAACAACACAUGCAACUUAAUAAUAUAAUAUGCAACAUUAUAUGCAACGGGUUUUAUAUCAACUUGCCCGCCCAUCUCGCCAAAAAGACUCAAGUAGCACAUAGGUCUCCACGACGACUCAAUUAAAAGACUAAUCAUUUAUAUAAUAUCCCGCCAUUAUCUUUUUAAAUUUUUUUUAAUGGCUGUGGUGACGUUGCAGUAGUCCAUACGGGAAGAUGGUGUGACAUGACAGUGUUGACUCUAACGGCUAAUAUGACCAAGUCCCCUUAUAUAUACACAUAUAAACACAACGGCUAUGUUUAGCGUUCAUCAACCAUACACCAAAAAAUCUUUCUGUCUAUAGAAAAUCUUUUUAAUUCCUUUCACAGUUAAUAUCAGGAGCCAACAAAACUCGAAACCCCCAUGUCGGUCAUGUCGAACUCGUCGUUGUAUUGGCAACCAUGUCUACCCACAACGUGGUCGUAUGUGAUUUUGGCUUUAACGCUUGACUUCGAACCUCGUGGACUGCCAAAAAAUCAGGGAGACGUUUCUAGAGUUGUGUGAAGAACAAGGUUAGUUUUUUUUUGUUAUUAAACUAAUUGUUGGUAAUUAAUUUGUUUAAAUAAAUUAGUUAAUCUCCUUUUUAGGAUGAAAACAGCUGUAAUUUUUUCAUGUGGAUGGACAGAGAGGUGUGUGAAGGAGCAAGACUGUAAUAAGCGAGCUCAAACAAAGGACAGUGAUGCUUGAGGACAAAAUUUCGAAGCUAGAGGGGAAGCUAUGUAAACAAAAAAAGAAGACACAGUUGCUAAAAAUCCAAAAGUAAGCUCAGAAUUUUUUAUUAAUUAGUGUGUUAUUGUGUAUGCUAGCAGUGAUUGUGAUGUUAGCUGUGAGGAAGGAAAUUACUAGUAGUAGAAUGGACAUUUAUUUUGAACUAUUAAAUGUAACUAGUAAACAUAUUAAAGUAGUGAAAAAUGACUUCCAUAAUUGUCAAGCAAAACCAAAUUUUCAAGCAAAGGAAAUUACAUUUUGUCUGAGCAACAUAUUGUCUGAGCAAAUGAAAGAUAAGUACCAAAAGAUACCAUGAUGUCUACAGAGUAAUAAUUAGCAUCAUAACUUAGCAAAAUAAGUACCAAAAAAUAGUCUACUCAAAAGUUUGCAUUUAAAAUAAUUAAAUAGUUAAGGAUCCAGGAUCAGGAUUGGUAUUUUUCUUGUUGGACUUGUUCUUCUUGAAGGUUACCUCCCUCAACCUAGGAUUCCUCCCAGGAGGUACUACUGCUCCUUCCUCACUGUAACUUUCACUUUCACUUUCAGAGUUUCCAUAGCCUUGUUUGGAGGAGUAGUCCAAACCCAUGAGCUCUAUCUUGAUUCACUGUAAACUGCAUCAUACCCUAGAGGUCCUAAAACCUUGUACAUAAAUUUAGAAGGGUCACUGGACUCUGCAGGUGGAGGUGGAGUUGGAUUAAUCUUAGAAGCCUGAGUUGGAAUGACAUCUGGAGCACUCUGUGACCCUCUUGGUUCACAACUGGCUGUGGCCUUCUAACAUGCAACUUUUGCCUAAACACAUUUUUGCCACCAGUUGGUAGUCUUCCCAUCCCCAACUUUUUCCUUGUAAACACUUUGACACUAGAAGGUCCUCCUCUAGUUGCUGCAGUGCUUUAAGUCACUGUAUCACCUUGGUCCCACUGGUUCUCACCUCCUUGAUUUCACCAACUUCAUUCCCACCUCACUGAUUCUCACCAACUUCAUUUCCACCUCCCUGAUUUGCUGGGCAUUUGGGUCUCCUGUGGCCAGUCUGCUUACAGAUGAUGCAGUGUUGGAUUCUUCCUGACCUAAACCUUUGCACCUUUGGAACAUCUGUCUCAACUGGAUUUUUUUCCUUCUUGCUGCUGCCACACUCCAAUUCCUUCCUCCUACUCAACCUCUUUGGUCUGCCUCUCAGUUACUUAGGGAUCUCUGGUGGAAGGAGUUUCUCUAGACUGUGCUCUUCCUAGUAGCCCUCCCCUUUGAGAGCCUCAAGGUUGUAACUGUAGGAGGCAAGAUACAUGUCUCUCUCAAAAUAUUCAGAGACAAAGUCACCUGGAUGCAUCUUUCUACCAUGUAUGGCAGCAACUGCAUGUGCACAUGGUAUGCCUUUAAGAUCAAAGACCCUACAGUCAAGCUUUUUUUGUCCAAAUCCACAGUGACAGCUUUAGUGCCACUUUUAACCAAGUACCUAGUUGCUCCUUCCCAUGAUGCUCUCCACUCCUUUGAUUGUUUGACAUAUAUGUCCAGUUGCUUCUUAAUCCUAGGAUAUAUAUGCAUAUCACUUACUAUCAUCUCAUCUCUUUUUUCCCUAAUUCUUUGCAUCAGCUUGAAAUGUAUUUCUUGCAUCAUGGUUAACAGUGGCAAGUACUUAAUAUAUAAAGUACAUAUUGGAUUAUAAAUAAAGGAUAGAAGUACAUUUCACUAAUAACAUAAAUAGCACAUUAAUAAAAGAAUCAGGAAAGUACCUUUCAUUAAUAAUCCAUGAGUUAAAGCACACAGACAUGUUACUUUCAAUGUUGUCAGCCUUAGGAACAGUGGAAAUAUGAGCUUUUGUCCACAAUGCAGGGUCUAAUUUUUUGAGCUGGUCUGUGCAGGUUUGCAUAGCUUCAAGAUUUGUUUCAUAGCAUUCUGAUGAGCAACUUGAUGUGUGUUACAUGCAGCAAUCCAAAAUUAUCUCUUUAACAAUGUUGAAGGAUACCUACAUUAAGCAUGAUAGGGACAAUACAUUAAAAUAAUGUUGAAAGGGACAUGACAUUAUAGUUUCAAACUUAACAACUUCCGUAAAAAAAAUUUAAGCGGAUAACGGCGGGAUAUUAGAUAGAUGAUUAGUCUAUUAAUUGAGUCUCCGUGGAGACCUAUGUGCUACUUGAGUCUUUUUGACGAGAUGGGUGGGCAAGUUGAUAUAAAACCCUAUAUGCAACUUGGUACCCUGAUACACAUAUUGGUUUAUAAUAUGCACACACUUAGUUUCAAGAAAAAUUACUUAAGAUCAUCUAUCUUAAAACUCACCCCUCUCAUUCAAUAGAUGAAUAUUCAUAUUAAUUAAACUACCCACUUAUAGUUGUAAAUUGUUAAAAUUGCUACUAUGCAACUUAAUAAUCCAAUAUGAAAUAGUAUAUGCAACUUAUCAAAUAACUAUGCAACUUCAGUAUCUUUAAAAAUUUAUUAUUUUAAUAUGGAACUUGUCAACCUAAUAUGCAACAUAUUAUGAAACUCAGUAAUAUGAUAUAAAAAAUUAUAUGCAACUUGGUGCCCUGAUAUGCAACUAGAAACCGAAUACAAACUUAAUAAUUUUUAAACGAACCAAAUCGUAUGUUUUCAAACCGUAUCAGUUACAUAAUUCAAUACAAACUAGUAUCCAAUGAGGCCACCCUUUCAUUGAAGCAUUUAAUGCAACAAAGACGUAUAAGAAACACCCAUCCACUCCCACUUUAAAACUAACAUUUGGUCCUGGAUUUUUAUGAUGCAACAUAUACAAAUAAGACACCAGUUGAGCAUAAAAUUCAUUUGCGUUGCCUCUAACAAUCUCUUGCGUUUUUCCUUAGAUCUCCAAGCUUUCUUGUACUUCAGUUGCACUUUAUAAUCAUGCUUCAUGUCUUUUAUUAUAUCUACAACUGAGUAUAUUUUGUUUUGAUAUUGGUGUAUUUGUUUUUUAUGAUGUCUGCAAUGAUGGUUGCAGUGGCUUGUCAUUGAUCUUUAAAUCUUAACUCUAGAUCACAGGUGGUCAACCAAAUUCCGUAUUAUGAAUUGACUUAUUUGCCCAUUCCAUGAUGCUCGCAUCAUCUAGCUGCAGUUUUUGUUGAGACAAGCAACCAAAUACUCCUUCUGGCAAGACUUCUUAACAUAAUACUGGAAAUUAUUACGAAUGGCAUAAUGACGCAAAACUAUCUUCAGUGUUUCUCUAUCUUUGUAUAUUUGAUCCAAUUCUAUGUGUUCAUGUUGCUUGUUGCUAAUGACAAACUUCUUCUCAAUAUGAGUUGCAUCACCAAUAUUUUUAAACAUGUUUGAGAUAUCCAAAAGUUGCCUAGAUAUGAGUUCUACAUAGUCAAAUAAUCUGCAAUCAUUUCGCCAUCCAUUUUAGUAAGUUAAUUUGAUGUUGCAUCUUCAGGUUUCACUGCUUCAAUACACACAUAAUCACUUGUUGUUCCACUCCUACUUGACGUGAUAGUGUCUUGAACAUUAUUUUCUCCGUUUGUCAAACACAGAGGAUAUCUUGUAAAGUCUAGUUCUCUUUUCUUCAACUCAAUAUAAAACAUAAGUUGAUAAUCAUUAGCAAUAUCAAAUGGAGGAUAAUUAUCUCUAACUUGAUACUCGAUUUUUGUUGUAGAUGAUUAUGGAGAAAACAUCAGUUCAUUGAGAAUAAGUCCUAGCAAGUUAUUAUAAGUGCUAAGUGCAGUUUCUUGGAAUCAGCAAUCCGCAGACCUUAAAGUUGAUGUAGUUUUGAAUUUCAUUCCAUUGGCCACCAUGUUGUACAAUGACUGUGAUAUUUACCAUCAUUCAAAAAAUAAUAUCAAAAAUCAAUACCCAAUCGCAACUACAAUCAAUAUAUAGCAACUAUACCAACUCAAUUUUAAAUUAGAAUAGUCAAAUUUAGCAGCAACUCAAUUAGCAUGUUAGGUGGAUUACAAUAUGAUAAAUUAGAAUAAAUCUUAAUUAGAACUGCAAUCAACCAAUUUCAACAACAUCAACUAUAGUAGCUCAAUUUUGAAUUAUCGUAAUAAACUUUAGCAACUAAUAUGGGUCAUAAAUAAUAUUUAACUAUUAUUAGAUAUUAAAGGCCCAAAAAUUUGAAAGCCCGGUUAAUUAGGGCCUGAGACACUUAAAUAUUAAUUAAUUUCGUAAUUAAUUAAUAAUGUCCACAAGCAGGUCCACGAUUGAGCUACUUGGACUGUCAAAAUCCAAGAAUUGAGCUUCCAGCCCACUCGAGGCUGGAAUCCAGUAACCAGCCCUGUCAAGGCCCGGAUGCACAAAUCCUACUCCAAGUAGGAAACUGAAUAGAAGGCUCUAGAACCUCAGCGUUCUACGAGUAUUCUAACUUUUCAACGAUAAACAUCUAGUGUUCUAGAUAAAUGUCAAUUUUACAAGAUAAGAGUCUUAUCUUAUCACAAGACAAGAAGCCUACUUCUACAAGGUUUCUAAUACAUGGAAUCACACUUCCAUACAGUCUCUAACACCGAGACAUCUAUAUAAAGGGCUCUAGCCCUCCAAACCAGAACUACGUUCAGACUUGAUUCUUCUCAGAGCAGAAGAUACUUAGGCAUCUCGAAUCUCGAGAACAGUCUUAAAAGCACGACGCUUCACCUUCAUUUUUUGAUCCAUAACAUUUGGCGCCGUCUGUGGGGUGAAGACAACAACCAUGGUUAGACCCGCGAGAUUACGCUCAGAAGUCCAUCCUCCGUCAACCGGAGACAACACUGCAACCCAAAAUCCACCCUCCACUCAUGUCACCGCUGGAACCUCCACUCAGCCAAUUCCGCUCUCCACCCACACGGCUGGAACCUCGAAUCCAACUAUCAUCGCUCCCCAAUGCUCAGCUCCGAUGAUAUUCCAGCACGUUGCCCCCUAUGACUAGCCUCGUGGCAACAACCACCGCUGGUGGAACUCACUACUCAACAGUCAUGACGACCACAAGAGGACAAACAGAUGAGUAUGAAGUUUACACAGACAACGACUCCUCUGAAGAGUCGGAGAGGGACUAUGAUAUUCCCCCACGUAGAAGGAGAGACGGAAACCAGGGCCGAGAUUCCCGACAUCAUACUAGACGAAACAAUCCUGAGUCCCGAGGACCUAUGCAUCAGGAAUAUGAAGCCAGAAUUCGCCUUCGAACAUCAAAUCGAACAAUUAAGAAGAGACAUGGCCACCCACCAAGCAAGGCAGCAACCUCCCGAACCGAAGGUUGAAACCCCUCAGAACACAGGUAUGACACGAAUCCAUCUAUUGCCUCCCGGUGAUCCAGACAAUCAUGUCCCACCAUUCACUGAGGAGAUCAUGGCCGCAAGGAUUUCCCGGAAGUUUAAGUUGCCCACUAUCAAGGCGUAUGACGGAACGGGUGAUCCCGCUAAUCAUGUACGGACCUUCAUGAAUGCACUGUUGUUACAACCAGUCACAGAGGCCAUCAAGUGUCGAGCUUUUCCUCAAACCUUGAGCGGGAUGGCACAACACUGGUUAGUCGUCUACCCCCUAAAUCUAUAUCUUCGUCUGCUGAUUUGAGUCGAGCUUUCAUAGGUUAGUUCAUUGGAAGUAAGACCCACGCCAAGAGUUCAGCUUCGUCGAUGAACCUUCACCAGGGCAGGAAUGAGUCCCUUAGAGAUUAUAUGAACAAGUUCACCAAAGAGGCUCUCAAGGUCCCUGAUUUGGACCAAAAAGUAGCAAUGAUAGCCCUACAACAAGGAACCACGGAUGAAAAUUUCUGCCGAUCACUAGCCAAGAGGGCCCCUGGCAAUAUGAAUGAGCUCCAAGAAAGGGCUAGGAAGUAUAACAAAGCUGAGGAGAGUUUGAAGAAAUCUCAGGUUGUCCAAGGACAAACCUCGAACCCUAAGAAACGUGGAAACGACACCGAGUACAAUGCAGAUAAUAAGUAUUCAAAACCCGGAGAUGAUGACAAGUCAUCCACGAAGAGGAAAUCCGGACCGAGGUUCACCGAAUAUGCAAGGCUGAAUGCCCCAAGAAGUCAAAUUCUGAUGGAAAUUGAGAAGGAAGGAGGAGUUCGAUGGCCGAAGCCUAUCAGAACUGAUCCUGAGAAGAGAAACAAGGAUCUAUACUGCAGGUUCCACAAAGAUACGGGACACAAGACCGAUGAUUGUCGGCAAUUGAAGGACGAGAUUGAGUUUCUAAUUCGGAAAGACAAGUUGUCUAGGUACACCAAGGAGGGUGAUAAGAAUCCCCGAGGCAAUGAUAAUCGAGGGAAAGACAGUGACGACAGUGAUAGGAGGAAUCAGCCUCGAGGGCCUGUGGUUAAUGUAAUCCCUGGAGGACCAACCGCUGUUGGCACAUCUAGUAACUCGAGGAAGGCUUAUGCCCGGGAAGUGAUGAGUAUUGUUGGAGGACCCCCGAUGAGGGCGAGAAUUGAGCUUCCUCUGACUUUUGAUGAUUCAGAACUUGAAGGGGUAAAGUUCCCCCAUCACGAUCCAUUAGUAAUCACACCCGUGAUCGGGAAUUCAUCUGUGAAGAGAGUCCUUGUGGACAAUGGGGCAUCUGUUGAUAUACUAUUCCAUGACGCUUAUGAGAAGAUGGGAUAUGCUGAUUCACAAUUAACACCUUCAGAUAUGCCUAUAUACAGUUUUAAUAACGCGGAGACGAAAAUUGAAGAAAUGAUCCAACUACCGGUAACAAUGGGAGCCGAGCCUAGACAAGCCACAUGUAUGUUGAACUUCUUGGUUGUUAAAGCCUCAUUAACCUACAAUGCUAUCCUUGGAAGAACAGGGAUACAUUCUUUUAAAGUAAUUCCAUCCACUUACCAGUUGAAGAUCAAAUUCCCAACUAGGAACGGAGUGGGAGAAGAAAUAGGAGAUCAAAAAAUAGCUAGAAGUUGUUAUGUGGGGCCUUUGGAAACCGGAGGAGUCGGGGGCAAUUUAUGCCUAUUGAAGAUCUAGAUGACAGGGGAGAGGAGGAAAGAAAAGGCAAGCCUGCUGAGGACUUGGUCCCUAUCGCCCUAUAUCCUGAUGAGCCGGAGAAGGUUACCUUCAGUGGGGUUUCACUCCCCGGGGACUUGAAGGUUGAGUUUGUUAAAUUCCUGGGAACAACCGUGAUGUCUUUGCUUGGACAGCUGCUGAUAUGCCAGGUAUUGACCCCUCCUACAUGACACAUAAGUUGAAUGUUAAUCCUGAUAGGAAGCCGAUACAGCAGAAUAAAAGAACUUUUGCACCUGAGAGGCAAGAGGCCAUCAGACAGGAGGUUGAGAAAUUGUUGGAAGCUGGGUUCAUAGAGGAGAUUCAGUUCCCAGAGUGGUUGGCAAACCCGAUCAUGGUCAAGAAAGCUAAUGGGAAGUGGAGGAUGUGUGUAGACUUCACGGACCUCAACGAUGCUUAUCCAAAGGACUGCUUUCCUCUUCCGAGGAUUGACACAUUGAUAGAUGCCACUAAUGGCCACGAGAUGUUCAGUUUCAUGGAUGGUUUUAGUGGAUACAACCAGAUCCGGAUGGACAAAAACGACGUUCCUAAGGUAUCAUUCAUCACAGACUUUAGUAUAUUCUAUUACUUAGUUAUGACCUUUGGUCUUAAGAAUGCAGGAGCCACGUAUCAGCGGUUGGCAAACAAGAUGUUUAAGCAUCUGAUUGGGAAGAUCAUGGAGGUCUAUGUUGAUGACAUGCUAGUCAAGAGUUUAAAUAAGGCUGACCACCUCGAACACCUUAGUGAGGCCUUUGAAGUCCUGAGGAUGCAUAAGAUGAUAUUGAAUCCAGCUAAGUGUGCCUUCAGAGUUGGAUCAGGCAAGUUUUUAGGUUUGAUGGUCUCCAAACGUGGAAUCGAGGCUAACCCCGACAAGAUUAAGGCUAUCCUCGACAUGGAACCACCUAAGACCAUAAGGGAUGUUCAGAAGUUUACUGGAAGGAUUGCAGCCGUGGGGCAAUUUGUAUCCAAGUCUGGAGACAAGUGUUUGCCUUUCUUCAAGGCACCCAAGAAGGUCAAGAACUUUGAAUGGACAGAGGAGAGCCAAGUGGCCUUUGAGGAGUUGAAGAAAUACAUGGCAGAGCCACCUCUUCUCUCGAAGCCUGUGGAUGGUGAAAUUCUAUAUGUCUUAGUUUGUGAAGACGAGAAAGUCCAGAAACCCGUCUACUAUGUUAGCAAGGUUUUGCAUGGAGCAGAGCUCAACUACUCCGUGAUCGAGAAGUUUGCGUUGGCUAUAAUUACAGCCUCGAGGAAGUUGAGACCUUACUUCCAAUCUCAUAAGAUUGAAGUCUUGACUGACCAGCCCCUUCGUAACAUAAUGCAUAGCCCGAAGGCUAGUGGAAGAUUGAUAAAGUGGGUAGUUGAACUUGGAGAAUUUGAUAUUCGACACAAGCCCUGGAUGGAAAUCAAGGCUCAAGCUCUAGUUGACUUCAUAGUUGAAUGUACCAUUGACAACCAAGAAGUCGGGGGGCAGGAGGAGAAGGAUAAGAUGGAUGAGUCCAAGAAAGUAGAGGAGCCUAUAGAACAGGAUCUGUUCUAUAGGCUCGUACCUCUGUCCAAGAAAGUCGUAUGUGAUUCCUUACUUUAGAUGUUUGAGGCCGGAUGAGGCUCGAGAAACCUUGAGAGAGGUUCACGAAGGAGUGUGUGGACAACACCUUGGUGGAAGGGCAUUAGCACACAAGGUCACCCGCCUCGGAUUUUAUUGGCCUGACAUGUUGAAGCAAGCUCAGGACUAUGUCAAACGGUGUGAUAGGUGUCAGAGGUUUGCACCCAUUGUACGUCAGCCCCCUAAGAUGUUAACAUCCAUCAAUUCCCCGAUUCCUUUUGCUAUGUGGGGGAUGGACAUCCUAGGGCCCUUCCCACUCGCUAGUGCACAGAAGAAGUUUUUGAUAGUUGCGAUCGAUUACUUCACAAAGUGGAUUGAGGCCAAACCCCUAGCCAAAAUAACCACGAAGCAGGUUGCUCAAUUCUUCUGGGAGAAUGUUAUAUGUAGGUACGGUAUACCUCAAGUCCUGGUUACUGACAAUGGAACACAGUUCAACAAUGAUGAGUUUCAAGGGUACUGCAGGGACUACGACAUUAAGUUACGAUUCACCUCGGUAGCACAUCCACAAGCCAAUGGACAAGCUGAAGUUGCGAACCGAAUAAUUCUCGAUGGACUAAAGAAGAGAGUUGAGAAAGCUCAAGGCGCAUGGGCAGAGGAUAUCCUUCCGAUCCUAUGGGCUUAUCGAACAACCUGUAAGGUCACUACCGGAGCCACUCCCUUUCAGCUAGCCUAUGAAACUGAGGUAGUGGAGCCCCUCGAGGUCACUCACACUUCCCCAAGGAUCGAGCAAUUUGACCCACCAACCAACGAGGAUGGAAUGAGGUUGGCUCUUGACAUGAUUGAUGAGGUCCGAGACCAAGCUCAUGCGAAGAUAGUGGAAAACAAGAAACGAGGAGAAAGACCUGCAUCAUGUUUGGAAUCUCUUAAAUAUUAUUGAAUAGUUAAAACAACACGCAAUAGAAUCUGAGUUAAAAGCGUGAAAGAUUUUCAUUAUAAACACAGUGUACACAACAUGAUAGAUUCAAAAAAAAACAUUACAUUCAUCGAUACGAACUAGGAUAUUCUCUGACAUUUUUUUUUGUCAUAAAAACGGUUGUAUUAAACCAAAUCGAAAGUUACAAAUCCGGAUGGACAGAGUUUCCUUCGUUCAAGAAGGUAUAUCAUCUAACCGAAAGUAUGUAAAUACUCCGGACGCUUAGAUAACAUAGCCUUUCAAGUCAGAAGAGAUAACCCACAAAAAAGGGCCUCGUUAAAACCCCUCAAGAGU